CGCGAAUGGCUCAUUACAACAGCUAUAAUUUACUUGAUCUUGACACAAUCCUACUUGGAUAACUGUGGUAAUUCUAGAGCUAAUACAUGCAUUAAAGCUCUGACCUCACGGGGAGAGUGCAUUUAUUAGAACAAAACCAAGCGGCUUCGGCUGUUUCUGGUUGACUCAUAGUAACUGAGCUGAUCGCAUGGUCUUGCACCGGCGACGUGUCUUUCAAGUAUCUGCCGUAUCAACUUUCGAUGGUAGUGUAUCUGACUACCAUGGUGAUCACGCGUAACGGAGAAUAAGGGUUCGGCUCCGGAGAGUUCGCCUGAGAAAUCGCGAACACAUCUAAGGAAGGCAGCAGGCGCGAAAAUUACCCACUCUCAGCACGAGGAGGUAGUGACGAAAAAUAACGAGACCGUUCUCUUAUGAGGCCGGUCAUCGGAAUGGGUACAAUUUAAACCCUUUAACGAGUAUCUAUGAGAGGGCAAGUCUGGUGCCAGCAGCCGCGGUAAUUCCAGCU
rnacentral:rRNA from 1 species